rnacentral:rRNA from 1 species
AAAUUGAAGAGUUUGAUCAUGGCUCAGAUUGAACGCUGGCGGCAGGCCUAACACAUGCAAGUCGAACGGUAACAGGAAGCAGCUUGCUGCUUUGCUGACGAGUGGCGGACGGGUGAGUAAUGUCUGGGAAACUGCCUGAUGGAGGGGGAUAACUACUGGAAACGGUAGCUAAUACCGCAUAACGUCGCAAGACCAAAGAGGGGGACCUUCGGGCCUCUUGCCAUCGGAUGUGCCCAGAUGGGAUUAGCUAGUAGGUGGGGUAAAGGCUCACCUAGGCGACGAUCCCUAGCUGGUCUGAGAGGAUGACCAGCCACACUGGAACUGAGACACGGUCCAGACUCCUACGGGAGGCAGCAGUGGGGAAUAUUGCACAAUGGGCGCAAGCCUGAUGCAGCCAUGCCGCGUGUAUGAAGAAGGCCUUCGGGUUGUAAAGUACUUUCAGCGGGGAGGAAGGGAGUAAAGUUAAUACCUUUGCUCAUUGACGUUACCCGCAGAAGAAGCACCGGCUAACUCCGUGCCAGCAGCCGCGGUAAUACGGAGGGUGCAAGCGUUAAUCGGAAUUACUGGGCGUAAAGCGCACGCAGGCGGUUUGUUAAGUCAGAUGUGAAAUCCCCGGGCUCAACCUGGGAACUGCAUCUGAUACUGGCAAGCUUGAGUCUCGUAGAGGGGGUAGAAUUCCAGGUGUAGCGGUGAAAUGCGUAGAGAUCUGGAGGAAUACCGGUGGCGAAGGCGGCCCCCUGGACGAAGACUGACGCUCAGGUGCGAAAGCGUGGGGAGCAAACAGGAUUAGAUACCCUGGUAGUCCACGCCGUAAACGAUGUCGACUUGGAGGUUGUGCCCUUGAGGCGUGGCUUCCGGAGCUAACGCGUUAAGUCGACCGCCUGGGGAGUACGGCCGCAAGGUUAAAACUCAAAUGAAUUGACGGGGGCCCGCACAAGCGGUGGAGCAUGUGGUUUAAUUCGAUGCAACGCGAAGAACCUUACCUGGUCUUGACAUCCACGGAAGUUUUCAGAGAUGAGAAUGUGCCUUCGGGAACCGUGAGACAGGUGCUGCAUGGCUGUCGUCAGCUCGUGUUGUGAAAUGUUGGGUUAAGUCCCGCAACGAGCGCAACCCUUAUCCUUUGUUGCCAGCGGUCCGGCCGGGAACUCAAAGGAGACUGCCAGUGAUAAACUGGAGGAAGGUGGGGAUGACGUCAAGUCAUCAUGGCCCUUACGACCAGGGCUACACACGUGCUACAAUGGCGCAUACAAAGAGAAGCGACCUCGCGAGAGCAAGCGGACCUCAUAAAGUGCGUCAUAGUCCGGAUUGGAGUCUGCAACUCGACUCCAUGAAGUCGGAAUCGCUAGUAAUCGUGGAUCAGAAUGCCACGGUGAAUACGUUCCCGGGCCUUGUACACACCGCCCGUCACACCAUGGGAGUGGGUUGCAAAAGAAGUAGGUAGCUUAACCUUCGGGAGGGCGCUUACCACUUUGUGAUUCAUGACUGGGGUGAAGUCGUAACAAGGUAACCGUAGGGGAACCUGCGGUUGGAUCACCUCCUUACCUUAAAGAAGC